rnacentral:rRNA from 1 species
GAUGAACGCUGGCGGCGUGCCUAAUACAUGCAAGUCGCGCCACCAGACGAGGAGCUUGCUCCUCUGACGUUAGCGGCGGUCGGGUGAGUCACACGUGGAUACCCUCCCUAUCCGCCUGGGAUAACUUCGGGAAACCGGAGCUAAUACCGGCUACUAUCUUGAACCGCAUGGUUCAAUAGUGAAAGUCGGUUUUGCUGUCACUUAUAGGUGGAUCCGCGCCGCAUUGGCCAGUUGGCAAGGUAACGGCUUACCAAGGCAACGAUGCGUAGCCGACCUGAGAGGGUGAUCGGCCACACUGGAACUGAGACGGGGGCCAGACUCCUACGGGAUGCAGCAGUAGAGAAUCUUCCGCAAUGGGCGAAAGCCUGACGGAGCAACGCCGCGGGAGUAGUGAAGGACGUCGUUUCGUAAAACUCGGUGAGUAGGAAAGAACAAAUGUCUAAGUAACUAUGCACAUCUUGACGGUACCAAAUCAGAAAGCCACGGCUAACUACGUG